rnacentral:rRNA from 1 species
AGCUCCAAUAGCGUAUAUUAAAGUUGUUGCAGUUAAAAAGCUCGUAGUUGGAUUUCUGACUUUGACAUUCGGUCCAUUUGCCUUUGGCAUUUGAGUACUUUGUGAUGUUGUAGUCAUUUUUUGUGAGAGAGAUUUGCUGCCAUUAAGUUGGUGGCUUUUCAAUCUUGCAUCUUUUACUGUGAAAAAAUUAGAGUGUUUAAAGCAGGCGUUUGCCAAAUUUUUGAAUACAUUAGCAUGGAAUAAUAAGAUAUGACUUUGGUGGUCUAUUUUGUUGGUUUGCACACUAGAGUAAUGAUUAAUAGGGACAGUUGGGGGUAUUUAUAUUCCGUCGUCAGAGGUGAAAUUCUUGGAUCGGCGGAAGAUAAACUAAUGCGAAAGCAUUUACCAAGGAUGUUUUCAUUA